AGGAAGUGAAUCCUGAUUCAUCUGCGGAGGAGGAGGAAGUGCAGCAGGUUUAGGCAAGAUCACCCCGGCAACGCAGACAUGGCCAUCUAAUACAUGAUCUACAGCUGAACUGUAUCAACCAAGUCAUGAGAUAUUCAAGAGUGCCAAGUUAUAUAUUCAAGACUGCCCUCCACAACAUGCAACCUCGAUGACUUGGAAUGUUUGCAUUCAUUAUCUUAUCUAGCCUGACUAAAUCAAUCUAGUGAUAAGUGUUGAGUCAUUGAGGAAACGAAAGAAAAAAAAAUCAUAAAACCACUGUUGGUUAUUGUCUACAAAAAAAGUGGAGCACAUUAAAUGAUUCCAAGAUGCAGCUCUAAUUCCUUUUAUCUGCAGAGCAUUAUUCACUAAUGCUUUUCUGCUUUCUGGAUGAAUACCUCAGAGAAUGUCGGAUUAAGAAAUCAUUU
rnacentral:lncRNA from 1 species